rnacentral:tRNA from 1 species
GAAAGUAUAGCUCAAGUCGUAGAGCACCUGCUUAGCGUGCACGAGGUCCUGGGUUCAAUCCCCAGUGCUUCCA